rnacentral:rRNA from 1 species
GUGGGGAAUAUUGGACAAUGGGCGAAAGCCUGAUCCAGCCAUGCCGCGUGUGUGAAGAAGGUCUUCGGAUUGUAAAGCACUUUAAGUUGGGAGGAAGGGCAGUAAGCUAAUACCUUGCUGUUUUGACGUUACCGACAGAAUAAGCACCGGCUAACUUCGUGCCAGCAGCCGCGGUAAUACGAAGGGUGCAAGCGUUAAUCGGAAUUACUGGGCGUAAAGCGCGCGUAGGUGGUUUUGUAAGUUAGGAGUGAAAGCCCAGGGCUCAACCUUGGAAUUGCUCUUAAAACUGCAAGGCUCGAAUCUCGGAGAGGAUAGUGGAAUUUCCAGUGUAGCAGUGAAAUGCGUAGAUAUUGGAAGGAACACCAGUGGCGUAAGCGGCUAUCUGGACGAGUAUUGACGCUGAGGCACGAAAGCGUGGGGAUCAAACAGGAUUAGAUACCCGAGUAGUCC